CUUAUACGACCGUACCGCAAACCGACACUGGUGCGCGAGAUGAGUAUUCUAAGGCGCUUGAGAGAACUCAGGAGAAGGAACUCGGCAAUUGACACCGUAACUUCGGAAGAAGGUGUGCCCUAUUAGUGUGUAGUGAACAACGAAGCAUGAAUGGGUUGCAAAAAAUCGGUGGCUGCGACUGUUUAUUAAAAACACAGCACUCUGCAAACACGAAAGUGGACGUGUAGGGUGUGACGCCUGCCCGGUGCUGGAAGAUUAAAUGAUGGGGUGCAAGCUCUUGAUUGAAGUCCCAGUAAACGGCGGCCGUAACAAUAACGGUCCUAAGGUAGCGAAAUUCCUUGUCGGGUAAGUUCCGACCUGCACGAAUGGCGUAACGAUGCCACACUGUCUCCUCCUGAGACUCAGCGAAGUUGAAAUGUUUGUGAUGAUGCAAUCUCCCCGCGGAAAGACGGAAAGACCCCAUGAACCUUUACUGUAGCUUUGUAUUGGACUUUGAACAGAUCUGUGUAGGAUAGGUGGGAGGCUUUGAAGCAGGGUCGCUAGAUCUUGUGGAGCCAACGUUGAAAUACCACCCUGGUGUGUUUGAGGUUCUAACCUAGGUCCAUUAUCUGGAUCGGGGACAGUGCAUGGUAGGCAGUUUGACUGGGGCGGUCUCCUCCCAAAGCGUAACGGAGGAGUUCGAAGGUACGCUAGUUACGGUCGGACAUCGUGACGAUAGUGCAAUGGCAUAAGCGUGCUUAACUGCGAGACUGACAAGUCGAGCAGAUGCGAAAGCAGGACAUAGUGAUCCGGUGGUUCUGUAUGGAAGGGCCAUCGCUCAACGGAUAAAAGGUACUCUGGGGAUAACAGGCUGAUACCGCCCAAGAGUUCAUAUCGACGGCGGUGUUUGGCACCUCGAUGUCGGCUCAUCUCAUCCUGGGGCUGUAGCCGGUCCCAAGGGUAUGGCUGUUCGCCAUUUAAAGAGGUACGUGAGCUGGGUUUAAACGUCGUGAGACAGUUUGGUCCCUAUCUUCCGUGGGCGCUGCAGAUUUGAGGAAGCCUGCUCCUAGUACGAGAGGACCGGAGUGGACACACCUCUGGUGUAUCGGUUGUCACGCCAGUGGCAUUGCCGAGUAGCUAAGUGUGGAAGAGAUAACCGCUGAAAGCAUCUAAGCGGGAAACUCGUUUCAAGAUGAGAUCUGCCGGGGCCUUGAGCCCCCUAAAGAGUCGUUCAAGACCAGGACGUUGAUAGGUCAGGUGUGGAAGC
rnacentral:rRNA from 1 species